GAGAGAGAGAGAGAGAGAGAGAGAAAGGAGAGUGAACGGAGGAGAGGUUCAGACUGUCCCUCUUUCUCUCAGUCCUCUGAUGUCCGUCAGGAUGAAGCUGUUGUGUGUGACUCUGGUUCUCCUCCUCACUGCAAAUUUCUGUGGCGGUUUAACAGUUAAACAGUCUCCUGUCCUGUCUGUGUGUAGAGAAGGAGAUGCGUCAGUCUCUCUACGGUGUUACCACGACGACAGCAGCUACUACUACAUGUUCUGGUACCGACAGAGAGGCAACAACAUGGAGAUGCUGACCUAUUCUCUGGGUCAAGGCGUGUGGGAAAUACAACCUCCCUUUGAGAAGGAUGUACAUUACACCAUGAGCAGGCCGGAGCUGACUAGAUCCACUCUGGAGAUCAAGAACCUGGAGGUUGGGGACGGGGCUGUGUAUUACUGUGCUUCCAGUACAGCACCAUGACUCAGAACAGAUACACUUCCUUACAACAACCCCUAGAAGCCACAGGAGGAGGGGGUGAAGA